UACGUAGGGUGCAAGCGUUGUCCGGAAUUAUUGGGCGUAAAGAGCUCGUAGGCGGUCUGUCGCGUCUGCUGUGAAAACCUAGGGCUUAACUCUGGGCGUGCAGUGGGUACGGGCAGGCUAGAGUGCGGUAGGGGAGACUGGAAUUCCUGGUGUAGCGGUGAAAUGCGCAGAUAUCAGGAGGAACACCGGUGGCGAAGGCGGGUCUCUGGGCCGUAACCUGACGCUGAGGAGCGAAAGCAUGGG
rnacentral:rRNA from 1 species